CACGUAGGAGGCAAGCGUUAUUCGGAUUUACUGGGCGUAAAGCGCGUGCAGGCGGUUUGGAAAGUUGGAUGUGAAAGCUCCUGGCUCAACUGGGAGAGGUCGUUCAAAACUUCCAGACUUGAGAGUGGUAGAGGGAGGUGGAAUUCCGGGUGUAGUGGUGAAAUGCGUAGAUAUCCGGAGGAACACCAGUGGCGAAAGCGGCCUCCUGGACCACUUCUGACGCUCAGACGCGAAAGCUAGGGUAGCAAACGGGAUUAGAAACCCUAGUAGUCC
rnacentral:rRNA from 1 species